rnacentral:rRNA from 1 species
UACGUAGGGGGCAAGCGUUGUUCGGAAUUACUGGGCGUAAAGGGCGCGUAGGCGGCACGGCAAGUCGGGAGUGAAAGGCCUGGGCUCAACCGAGGAACUGCUUUCGAGACUGCCGAGCUAGAGUGCGGAAGGGGCAACCGGAAUUCCCAGUGUAGCGGUGAAAUGCGUAGAUAUUGGGAAGAACACCUGAGGCGAAGGCGGGUUGCUGGGCCGACACUGACGCUGAGACGCGAAAGCGUGGGGAGCGAACAGG